rnacentral:rRNA from 1 species
UACGUAGGGUGCAAGCGUUACUCGGAAUUACUGGGCGUAAAGAGCGCGUAGGCGGCCCAGUAAGUCCGCUCUGAAAGUCAGAGGCUCAACCUCUGGAUGCGGGUGGAUACUGCUGGGCUAGAGUCCGGAAGAGGCGAGUGGAAUUCCUGGUGUAGCGGUGAAAUGCGUAGAUAUCUGGAGGAACACCGGUGGCGAAGGCGGCAUUCUGGACCGAAACUGACGCUGAGGCGCGAAAGCCAGGGGAGCAAACGGG